AUUGAACGCUGGCGGCAUGCUUUACACAUGCAAGUCGAACGGUAACAGGCCGCAAGGUGCUGACGAGUGGCGAACGGGUGAGUAAUGCAUCGGAACGUGCCCAGUCGUGGGGGAUAACUGCUCGAAAGAGCAGCUAAUACCGCAUACGAUCUAUGGAUGAAAGCGGGGGACCGUAAGGCCUCGCGCGAUUGGAGCGGCCGAUGUCAGAUUAGGUAGUUGGUGGGGUAAAGGCUCACCAAGCCAACGAUCUGUAGCUGGUCUGAGAGGACGACCAGCCACACUGGGACUGAGACACGGCCCAGACUCCUACGGGAGGCAGCAGUGGGGAAUUUUGGACAAUGGGGGCAACCCUGAUCCAGCAAUGCCGCGUGCAGGAAGAAGGCCUUCGGGUUGUAAACUGCUUUUGUACGGAACGAAACGGUCUGGGUUAAUACCCUGGGCUAAUGACGGUACCGUAAGAAUAAGCACCGGCUAACUACGCGCCAGCCGCCCGCAGUAACAC
rnacentral:rRNA from 1 species